GCCUAUACAUGCAAGUCGAACGAACUUCCGUUAAUUGAUCAGGACGUGCUUGCACUGAAUGAGAUUUUAACACGAAGUGAGUGGCGGACGGGUGAGUAACACGUGGGUAACCUGCCCAGAAGCAGGGGAUAACACCUGGAAACAGAUGCUAAUACCGUAUAACAGAGAAAACCGCCUGGUUUUCUUUUAAAAGAUGGCUCUGCUAUCACUUCUGGAUGGACCCGCGGCGCAUUAGCUAGUUGGUGAGGUAACGGCUCACCAAGGCGAUGAUGCGUAGCCGACCUGAGAGGGUAAUCGGCCACAUUGGGACUGAGACACGGCCCAGACUCCUACGGGAGGCAGCAGUAGGGAAUCUUCCACAAUGGACGCAAGUCUGAUGGAGCAACGCCGCGUGAGUGAAGAAGGGUUUCGGCUCGUAAAGCUCUGUUGUUAAAGAAGAACGUGGGUGAGAGUAACUGUUCACCCAGUGACGGUAUUUAACCAGAAAGCCACGGCUAACUACGUGCCAGCAGCCGCGGUAAUACGUAGGUGGCAAGCGUUAUCCGGAUUUAUUGGGCGUAAAGCGAGCGCAGGCGGUCUUUUAAGUCUAAUGUGAAAGCCUUCGGCUCAACCGAAGAAGUGCAUUGGAAACUGGGAGACUUGAGUGCAGAAGAGGACAGUGGAACUCCAUGUGUAGCGGUGAAAUGCGUAGAUAUAUGGAAGAACACCAGUGGCGAAGGCGGCUGUCUGGUCUGUAACUGACGCUGAGGCUCGAAAGCAUGGGUAGCGAACAGGAUUAGAUACCCUGGUAGUCCAUGCCGUAAACGAUGAUUACUAAGUGUUGGAGGGUUUCCGCCCUUCAGUGCUGCAGCUAACGCAUUAAGUAAUCCGCCUGGGGAGUACGACCGCAAGGUUGAAACUCAAAAGAAUUGACGGGG
rnacentral:rRNA from 1 species